ACGCUGGCGGCGUGCCUAACACAUGCAAGUCAACUUGACUGAAGGAGCAAUCUGACAGUAGAGUGGCGCAAGGGUGCGUAACGCGUAAGUAACUUGCCCCAAGGUAAGGAAUAACGUCGAGAAAUCGGCGCUAAUACCUCAUAAUGCAGCGGAUCCGCAUGGAUAUGUUGUUAAAGGUUUACCGCCUUGGGAUAGGCUUGCGUCUGAUUAGUUAGUUGGUGUGGUAACGGCACACCAAGGCUACGAUCAGUAACUGGUCUGAGAGGAUGAUCAGUCACACUGGAACUGAGACACGGCCCAGACUCCUACGGGAGGCAGCAGUGAGGAAUAUUGGGCAAUGCUCGAAAGAGUGACCCAGCAACGCCGCGUGGAGGAUGAAGGUAUUCUAUAUCGUAAACUCCUGUGAGAGCAGACGAAAGACAGAUUAUUAAUCUGGAUGACUGUAUGCUCAGAGGAAGCCCCGGCUAACUACGUG
rnacentral:rRNA from 1 species